UACGGAGGGGGCGAGCGUUGUUCGGAAUUACUGGGCGUAAAGGGCUCGUAGGCGGCCAACUAAGUCGGACGUGAAAUCCCCAGGCUCAACCUGGGAACUGCGUCCGAUACUGGAUGGCUUGAAUCCGGGAGAGGGAUGCAGAAUUCCAGGUGUAGCGGUGAAACGCGUAGAUAUCUGGAGGAAUACCGGUGGCGAAGGCGGCAUCCUGGACCGGCAUUGACGCUGAGGAGCGAAAGCCAGGGGAGCAAACGGG
rnacentral:rRNA from 1 species